UACGGGGGGGGUAAGCGUUGUUCGGAAUUACUGGGCGUAAAGGGCUCGUAGGCGGCCAACUAAGUCAGACGUGAAAUCCCUCAGCUUAACUGGGGAACUGCGUCUGAUACUGGAUGGCUUGGAUUCGGGAGAGGAAUGCGGAAUUCCAGGUGUAGCGGUGAAAUGCGUAGAUAUCUGGAGGAACACCGGUGGCGAAGGCGGUUCUCUGGGCAUUACCUGACGCUGAGGAGCGAAAGUGUGGGGAGCGAACAGG
rnacentral:rRNA from 1 species